rnacentral:rRNA from 1 species
AAUCCAUAGGUUAAUGAGGCGAACCGGGGGAACUGAAACAUCUAAGUACCCCGAGGAAAAGAAAUCAACCGAGAUUCCCCCAGUAGCGGCGAGCGAACGGGGAGGAGCCCAGAGCCUGAAUCAGCAUGUGUGUUAGUGGAAGCGUCUGGAAAGGCGCGCGAUACAGGGUGACAGCCCCGUACACAAAAGCGCAUGUGCUGUGAGCUCGAUGAGUAGGGCGGGACACGUGGUAUCCUGUCUGAAUAUGGGGGGACCAUCCUCCAAGGCUAAAUACUCCUGACUGACCGAUAGUGAACCAGUACCGUGAGGGAAAGGCGAAAAGAACCCCGGCGAGGGGAGUGAAAAAGAACCUGAAACCGUGUACGUACAAGCAGUGGGAGCCCCACCACUAAGCCAGUGGUGAACUCCACAUACGCAUCCUUUGCUGAGGAUACGGUUAACGGAGCGAAAGCGACGUUCAACCUCAAAAGAAGCAGAGGGGGCUUAGUGGUGGGGUGACUGCGUACCUUUUGUAUAAUGGGUCAGCGACUUAUAUUCUGUAGCAAGGUUAACCGAAUAGGGGAGCCGGAGGGAAACCGAGUCUUAAUUGGGCGUUAAGUUGCAGGGUAUAGACCCGAAACCCGGUGAUCUAGCCAUGGGCAGGUUGAAGGUUGGGUAACACUAACUGGAGGACCGAACCGACUAAUGUUGAAAAAUUAGCGGAUGACCUGUGGCUGGGGGUGAAAGGCCAAUCAAACCGGGAGAUAGCUGGUUCUCCCCGAAAGCUAUUUAGGUAGCGCCUCGUGAAUUCAUCUCCGGGGGUAGAGCACUGUUUCGGCUAGGGGGCCAUCCCGGCUUACCAACCCGAUGCAAACUGCGAAUACCGGAGAAUGUUAUCACGGGAGACACACGGCGGGUGCUAACGUCCGUCGUGAAGAGGGAAACAACCCAGACCGCCAGCUAAGGUCCCAAAGUCAUGGUUAAGUGGGAAACGAUGUGGGAAGGCCCAGACAGCCAGGAUGUUGGCUUAGAAGCAGCCAUCAUUUAAAGAAAGCGUAAUAGCUCACUGGUCGAGUCGGCCUGCGCGGAAGAUGUAACGGGGCUAAACCAUGCACCGAAGCUGCGGCAGCGACGCUGAUGCGUUGUUGGGUAGGGGAGCGUUCUGUAAGCCUGUGAAGGUGGCCUGUGAGGGUUGCUGGAGGUAUCAGAAGUGCGAAUGCUGACAUAAGUAACGAUAAAGCGGGUGAAAAGCCCGCUCGCCGGAAGACCAAGGGUUCCUGUCCAACGUUAAUCGGGGCAGGGUGAGUCGACCCCUAAGGCGAGGCCGAAAGGCGUAGUCGAUGGGAAACGGGUUAAUAUUCCCGUACUUGGUGUUACUGCGAAGGGGGGACGGAGAAGGCUAUGUUGGCCGGGCGACGGUUGUCCCGGUUUAAGCGUGUAGGUGUGUGUUCCAGGUAAAUCCGGUUCACUUUAACACUGAGGCGUGACGACGAGGCACUACGGUGCUGAAGCAACAAAUGCCCUGCUUCCAGGAAAAGCCUCUAAGCAUCAGGUAACAUCAAAUCGUACCCCAAACCGACACAGGUGGUCAGGUAGAGAAUACCAAGGCGCUUGAGAGAACUCGGGUGAAGGAACUAGGCAAAAUGGUGCCGUAACUUCGGGAGAAGGCACGCUGACACGUAGGUGAAGUGAUUUACUCAUGGAGCUGAAGUCAGUCGAAGAUACCAGCUGGCUGCAACUGUUUAUUAAAAACACAGCACUGUGCAAACACGAAAGUGGACGUAUACGGUGUGACGCCUGCCCGGUGCCGGAAGGUUAAUUGAUGGGGUCAGCGCAAGCGAAGCUCCUGAUCGAAGCCCCGGUAAACGGCGGCCGUAACUAUAACGGUCCUAAGGUAGCGAAAUUCCUUGUCGGGUAAGUUCCGACCUGCACGAAUGGCGUAAUGAUGGCCAGGCUGUCUCCACCCGAGACUCAGUGAAAUUGAACUCGCUGUGAAGAUGCAGUGUACCCGCGGCAAGACGGAAAGACCCCGUGAACCUUUACUAUAGCUUGACACUGAACAUUGAGCCUUGAUGUGUAGGAUAGGUGGGAGGCUUUGAAGUGUGGACGCCAGUCUGCAUGGAGCCGACCUUGAAAUACCACCCUUUAAUGUUUGAUGUUCUAACGUGGACCCGUAAUCCGGGUUGCGGACAGUGUCUGGUGGGUAGUUUGACUGGGGCGGUCUCCUCCUAAAGAGUAACGGAGGAGCACGAAGGUUGGCUAAUCCUGGUCGGACAUCAGGAGGUUAGUGCAAUGGCAUAAGCCAGCUUGACUGCGAGCGUGACGGCGCGAGCAGGUGCGAAAGCAGGUCAUAGUGAUCCGGUGGUUCUGAAUGGAAGGGCCAUCGCUCAACGGAUAAAAGGUACUCCGGGGAUAACAGGCUGAUACCGCCCAAGAGUUCAUAUCGACGGCGGUGUUUGGCACCUCGAUGUCGGCUCAUCACAUCCUGGGGCUGAAGUAGGUCCCAAGGGUAUGGCUGUUCGCCAUUUAAAGUGGUACGCGAGCUGGGUUUAGAACGUCGUGAGACAGUUCGGUCCCUAUCUGCCGUGGGCGCUGGAGAACUGAGGGGGGCUGCUCCUAGUACGAGAGGACCGGAGUGGACGCAUCACUGGUGUUCGGGUUGUCAUGCCAAUGGCACUGCCCGGUAGCUAAAUGCGGAAGAGAUAAGUGCUGAAAGCAUCUAAGCACGAAACUUGCCCCGAGAUGAGUUCUCCCUGAGACUUAGAGUCUCCUGAAGGAACGUUGAAGACGACGACGUUGAUAGGCCGGGUGUGUAAGCGCAGCGAUGCGUUGAGCUAACCGGUACUAAUGAACCGUGAGGCUUAACCUUACAACGCCGAAG